rnacentral:rRNA from 1 species
CACUGGAUUUGUUUUUUUAAGUUGUCAAGACUCUAUCUCGUCAGAUCUCAGAAGCUAAGCAGGGCCGGCCUGGUUAGGACUUGGAUGGGAGACCGCUAGGAAUUCCAGGUGCUACAGUGG